UGGCAAUAUUGUUUCAUUUAAAGGUAUUCAACCCGAAUUGAAACACCAAUCUAGUCGAGAAGAAGAGGAAAGUGCCAUUGAAGUUAUUCACGCUGUUGGACUUGUUCAAGAGAACCUGGAAUAAACCUACAUGAGCAUGGGGACAGUAUCUGCAAACUCCACACGUGGGCCUGAGCUGAGUUUCAAACCCAGCACCCCUCGACUGUGAGGCAUUCGGGUUAACCACCAGUCCCCCUGUGCUGCAGCUGUAUUUGGCUGAUUCUGCCGAAUGAAGAACGUGGAUAGGUUCCCAGGGCUGACUCAUGGUUUCUGUUUGGAGAGGUCCAGUCCAGUGCAGGCUGGCCCUCUGUUUAUACAAACUCUCCGGCCAGACUGGGAGGCCCUCUUUUCACACCCAGGUGCUUUCCAAAGAAAACCGGCUGCAGAGGCCCCUCGCCUAAGAUUUUAGCACCACCUCCCACUCAUUGUGGUUAAAAAAGCCAUUCUCAACAAUGGCCCAGCUGAAGAGAGGAUGAGGUCAGGAGUGGCUCAUUUGCUGAGACAGAAUGCAUUUAACCUUGAUGAGAGAAGCGGCUGUUACAAUGCCCUGAUGAUGAAAUAUGCUUGGUGAAACUAAAAUGAACCCUACGUAAAAAUGGCUCAAGAAAAGGCACAGCCUCUUCAGCCUCCCAACUUUUUAUCCUUACUCUCCUCACUUUCCCUUUGUUCCCGGAUUGCACACCGCUAUGUCCAGGUCUCGCCUCCAGGGAGUUCAGCCUGGCAGAAAAAAAACACUUCCAGUCACUGUCUGCCUUCUUCCCAUUCACUAUCAGGAGUGACUUUCACAAAGGAGGGGGGCUGAAAUGUGUCCCGUCCAUGGGAACUUCCCCAGAUGACAGACAAUACAAAGACUGGCCUCAGAUCAGCAGAAUCUAACAAAGCUCCCGAGACGCUAUCGACACGACGGAUUCUUCACAACCUACUGGUGAUUUGUUCCCAUAAGAAAAUAUGUCAGUAAUCGCUACACCUUCAUGAAUAUGGACCAAUGUGGAAGCUUUGUAGCAGCUACACAGGGACUUCAGUCAAAUGGCACUCUCAAGAGAUGACACGCUAGCCCGUGAAAUGAAUUUCUUUAAAAAUAUAUAUUUCCAAUGUCUAGACAUGAAAGGAAUGAUGCAAAUGUUGGGAAAGGAAUUUCUUUUAUAAUUCUACUGAACCUGCUGUCAGGCAUGGCUAUUGUGCAAUUCAAGCAUUUGAAAGUGAUUGGAAGAAUAGAUUCCACGUUAGGUAAUGCACAAUUUCAAUCAAUGCUUCAUCAAUUCCAUAUUUGACUCGCAUCUUUAAAUAAUUUGUGUGACUGGGAGGCAUGAUAACGGAUUUUUCAGAAACCCAUAGCCUGUUUCUCCGGGUACUGAAUGUGAACAAGUUAUGAGGUUGUUUAUGAAAAGUAACAAGCUAGUAACAUGUUAAAUGGGCUCAUUAAACAGCAAAUCACAAAUCAGCGCCCGCUUCCCUUUUUCUUCCCUCAUUUCCUUCUUGUGUGAUGUUUAUCUUUUCCUGCAUCAAAAAGUGCGAGCGCUGUUUUUAGCCAUGCAAUUAGGACAAAA